rnacentral:lncRNA from 1 species
NNNNNNNNNNNNNNNNNNNNNNNNNNNNNNNNNNNNNNNNNNNNNNNNNNNNNNNNNNNNNNNNNCCCCCGAGGAAGGCGGGCGCACGGGGGCGGCGCGGAGCGGGCCGGGCUCCCGCGUGCACGGCGGCGGGGCGAUCGGGUGCACGGGCAGGGGCACGUGCGGCCGCACGCACCCAGACGUGUUUGCACGCACAUGCAUGCUCACACGCACGCAGAAAUGCACGUCCCCGUGCAAAUGGGCAGGGUCGCACACGGACAUGCAUGCUCACACGCACGCGGAGAGGUGGGCGCGUGGACAUGCAUGCUCAUGUGCACAAGAACAUGCAUGCUCACACGCACAAGAACAUGUUCAGACACACAUGCUCACGGACAUGCACACUCACAUGCAAACAGGUAUGUUCAGAGACAUGCAUGCUUAUGUGCACACGGACACACAUGUCCACGUGCAAACGGGUGCGUUCCCAUGGACGUGCAUGCUCACACGCACACAGACAUGCAUGUCCCCCUUCAAACUGGCAUGCUUAGACAUGCAUGCUCACAUGCACACGGACAUGCAUGCACAGACAUGCAUGUCCACGUACAAACUAGCAUGUUCACCCAGGCAUGCAUGCACACAUGCACACGGACAUGCAUGCACAGACAUGCAUGUCCACGUACAAACUAGCAUGUUCACCCAGGCAUGCAUGCACACGGGCAUGCAUGCACACAUGCACACGGACACGCAUGCACACUCAUGCUGGCUCCCACGCACGUGGACACACAUGCACACCAACAGGCAUGUUCACGCACGCAAGGACACGCACGGCCACAUACAAACAGGUGUGCUCACGCUCACACGCACGCACACACGAAGCGGUGUGUUCACACACACGUGUCCACACGCACCGGUGUGCUCACGUGCACACAACCGGGUGUCCUCGCACGGACGUGCACGCUCACACGCGUGUCCACCUGCCCAGGUGUGCUCACACGCACACAACACGCGUGGCCACGUGCGCACGGACGUGCACAGCCGCAUGCACACGGAUGCGCGUGCUCACGGACACGCGGGCGCACACGCUCACACAUGCGGACAUGCUCACGCUCCCCCCGUGUGCACCCGCAACACCUGCCCCACCCAUGUGCACACACACAGCCCCACGCCCUCAUUAACCCCCCCCCAAAACGUGCGCACACGUGACCACCCAGCCGGCACCCCGGGGUGCCCACCCACGGCACCCGGUCGGGGCCGCAUCCGGCCAGGGGCCAAGCCGCCCCCGGGGCACAGCGGAGGGGGGCUGCGGGGCGCCAAGGGGUGCAAAUGGGUGCUGCCGGGUGCUGAGGGGUGCUGCAAGGCACCGAGCGGCGCCGGGGGACACCCAAGGGUGCUGCGGAGGGCUCCAGGCCCUCCCCGGGCUUGGAGGCAGCCGAGGCCGGAGGAGGCAGCAGGGACCUCGCCACGGCCCCGGCGCUCCCUCGGGGGCGGCUCCCUCGGCUGGCGCCAGCACCCAAAACCCGCGUGUGGCAACGGGGCCACCCCAAACCCCUCCAGAUCCCCCCAGUGCCUGGGGCGGCUGCUGCAGGCAGAGGUAAGGUGACCGGCACAGCACGGGCAGAGUUAAGGUGACCAGAGUGGGCAGAGUUAAGGUGACUGGCGCGGUGUGGGCAGAGUUAAGGUGACCGGCACAGCACGGGCAGAGUUAAGGUGACCAGAGUGGGCAGAGUUAAGGUGACUGGCACAGCACGGGCAGAGUUAAGGUGACCAGAGUGGGCAGAGUUAAGGUGACCAGCACAGCACGGGCAGAGUUAAGAUGAUCAGAGUGGGCAGAAUUAAGGUGACUGGCACAGUGUGGGCAGAGUUAAGGUGACCAGAGUGGGCAGAGUUAAGGUGACCGGCAUGGUGUGGGCAGAGUUAAGGUGACCAGCACAGCAUGGGCAGAGUUAAGGUGACCAGAGUGGGCAGAGUUAAGGUGACUGGCGUGGUGUGGGCAGAGUUAAGGU